rnacentral:rRNA from 1 species
UAGGGAAUCUUCCACAAUGGGCGCAAGCCUGAUGGAGCAACGCCGCGUGAGUGAAGAAGGUCUUCGGAUCGUAAAACUCUGUUGUUAGAGAAGAACAUGCAGGAGAGUAACUGUUCUUGUAUUGACGGUAUCUAACCAGAAAGCCACGGUUAACUACGUCCCAG